rnacentral:rRNA from 1 species
AUGAAGCUAUGGGAGAGAGUCAUUGAGCACCGCUUAAGAAGAAUGACAAGCGUGACCAAAAAUCAGUUUGGUUUCAUGCCUAGGAGGUCGACCAUGGAAGCCAUUUUCUUGGUACGAGAACUUAUGGAGAGAUAUAGGGAGCAAAAGAAGGACUUGCAUAUGGUGUUCAUUGACUUGGAGAAGGCCUAUGAUAAGAUACCGCAGAAUGUCAUGUGGUGGGCCUUGGAGAAACACAAAGUCCCAGCAAAGUACAUUACCCUCAUCAAGGACAUGUACGAUAAUGUUGUGACAAGUGUUCGAACAAGUGAUGUCGACACUGAUGACUUCCCGAUUAAGAUAGGACUGCAUCAGGGGUCAGCUUUGAGCCCUUAUCUUUUUGCAUUGGUGAUGGAUGAGGUCACAAGGGAUAUACAAGGAGAUAUCCCAUGGUGUAUGCUCUUUGCGGAUGAUGUGGUGCUAGUUGACGAUAGUCGGACGAGGGUAAAUAGGAAGUUAGAGUUAUGGAGACAAACCUUGGAAUCGAAAGGGUUUAGGCUUAGUAGAACUAAAACCGAGUACAUGAUGUGCGGUUUCAGUACUACUAGGUGUGAGGAGGAGGAGGUUAGCCUUGAUGGCCAGGUGGUACCUUAG